rnacentral:rRNA from 1 species
CAGCAGCCGCGGUAAUACGAAGGGUGCAAGCGUUAAUCGGAAUUACUGGGCGUAAAGCGCGCGUAGGCGGUUUGGUAAGUGUGAUGUGAAAGCCCCGGGCUCAACCUGGGAAUUGCCUCACAUACUGCCAGGCUAGAGUACGGUAGAGGGGGGUAGAAUUCCACGUGUAGCGGUGAAAUGCGUAGAGAUGUGGAGGAAUACCAGAGGCGAAGGCGGCCAACUGGGCUUGAUCUGACGCUGAGGUGCGAAAGCGUGGGGAGCGAACAGGAUUAGAUACCCUGGUAGUCCACGCCGUAAACGAUGGGCACUAGAUGCCGGUGGGAACGACCCCUUCGGUGUCGCAGCUAACGCACUAAGUGCCCCGCCUGGGGAGUACGGCCGCAAGGCUGAAACUCAAAGGAAUUGACGG